CUUCAUGCCUAUAGCUGGGUUCUGGAAGCAAGCUUUAGUGCUUGGAAUUAAUGAGAUGCCUGGGGUUGAAUGACAUCAAGGUAUGCAUGCAGUAAGAAGACAGAGUGCUAUGAAGAAAGCUGAAGAAGCACUUUCCUCUAAAGUGAUGCUCACACAGAAUAAAUGAGUAAUAAUUUAGUUCACAGAACUGCAAAUGGCAACCUCCAG
rnacentral:lncRNA from 1 species